GACCAGCUCCCAGGCGGUGGCCCUGGCGGAAGGCUUCCUCCUGAGCCAGGCGGAGGAGCAGAAGGAGCCUCUCCAGCGGCAGUGCUGCACUGUGGAGAUCAGAGAUCCUGAGGAAAAGAAGAACCUAUCAAAUCCCCCUCAGGAGCUAUUUUUUAGGAGGAUCCCUUGGGAAGAUCCAUGUCAGGACACCUCAGGAGAAAAGCAAAGAAUGAAGCUUUCUGGUUUUUAUGACGGAGAUGAAACAGUGGUUGAACCUCCAAAUCAACCUAUGAUUCUGCUGAGGGUUGUUGGGAGGGCAACUGAAGCAUUGUGCUGA
rnacentral:lncRNA from 1 species